AGCAGCCGCGGUAAUUCCAGCUCCAAUAGCGUAUAUUAAAGUUGUUGCAGUUAAAAAGCUCGUAGUUGAAUUUCGGGAUCAAUAUGUCGGUCGUGCCUUCGGUACGUACUGGUAUCAUUGGUCUCUCCUUUCUGACGAACCAUGAUGUCAUUAAUUUGGUGUUAUGGGGAGUUAGGACUGUUACUUUGAAAAAUUAGAGUGUUUAAAGCAGGCUUUAGCUUGAAUACAUUAGUAUGGAAUAAUGAAAUAGGACGUUCGAACCUAUUUGUUGGUUUCUAGGAUCAACGUAAUGAUUAAUAGGGAUAGUUGGGGGCAGUUAGUAUUCAAUUGUCAGAGGUGAAAUUCUUGGAUUUAUUGAAGACUAACUACUGCGAAAGCAAUUUGCCAAGGAUGUUUCAUUAAUCAAGAACGAAAGUUAGGGGAUCGAAGACGAAUCAGAUACCGUCGUAGUCUUAACCAUAAACUAUGCCGACUAGGGAUCGGAUGAUGUUAAUUUUUAAUGUACUCAUUCGGCGCCUUA
rnacentral:rRNA from 1 species